GGAAAAUUGAUCAUCGGCAAGAUAAGUUAUUUACUAAAUAAUAGAAUAUUAUUUCUGAGGAGUUCGAAUCUCCUAUUUUCCG
rnacentral:tRNA from 13 species